AAAGAAAUGAGUAGUUCAACCCUCUCUUUAGGCUGAAUGCAGGUACACUUAAGAGCAGAAAUAGAUUCAGUGGAUAGUGUUGGUCUAAAAGAAAACCUCCCCCAUGCUAUACAUGUGCACUAGGAAAGAAAUCUGCACUGCUGACUCUUCCUAAGAGACACAGAUAUUGUAGGGAUAGAAAAAAUAAGCACUGGAAAGCAGGCAUGAAAGAAAGCUCCUGUGGGAAAAUGCCAAAGAUUUUGCUUCAGUGUCAUGUUCAAGGCUGCAACUGAGACACAGCACUCCACCUGCCACAACUUUUGCUUUAUUUUGUUUCAGAAAGGCUAUCCUUGGUCCUGACCCUGGUCAUUUCCCUGUUUUAUUCCAGUACAAUCUGCUUUGGGGUUUUUUUCUGCAAGAACAGAUAAGAAGAAUAUUGUAUUAUCUAUUUAUCUAUUGCUUAUUCCUAUGUUGGUAUGUGUCAUCUACUGAGUGUUAUCUGAGAAUUCUUCAUUAAAG
rnacentral:lncRNA from 1 species